GAUGAACGCUAGCGGCAGGCCUAAUACAUGCAAGUCGAACGGUGUCUUCGGACAUAGUGGCGCACGGGUGCGUAACACGUAUGCAACCUACCUUACAUUGGGGGAUAGCCUUUCGAAAGGGAGAUUGAUACCGCAUAAGACAGUAGCUGGGCAUCCAGCAGCUGUUAAAGCUUUAUCGAUGUAAGCUGGGCAUGCGUCCAAUUAGCUAGUUGGUGAGGUAACGGCUCACCAAGGCAAUGAUUGGUAGGGGAACUGAGAGGUCAAUCCCCCACACUGGCACUGAGAUACGGGCCAGACUCCUACGGGAGGCAGCAGUAGGGAAUAUUGGGCAAUGGACGCAAGUCUGACCCAGCCAUGCCGCGUGCAGGAUGAAGGCGUUAUGCGUUGUAAACUGCUUUUAUACAGGAAGAAACGACUCUUGCGAGAGGCAUUGACGGUACUGUAUGAAUAAGCACCGGCUAACUACGUGCCAGCAGCCGCCGUAAAAC
rnacentral:rRNA from 1 species